rnacentral:rRNA from 1 species
GACGUAGGGCGCGAGCGUUGUCCGGAUUUAUUGGGCGUAAAGAGCUCGUAGGCGGCUUGUCGCGUCGUCCGUGAAAACUUGGGGCUCAACCCCCAAGCUUGCGGUCGAUACGGGCAGGCUCGAGUUCGGUAGGGGAGACUGGAAUUCCUGGUGUAGCGGUGAAAUGCGCAGAUAUCAGGAGGAACACCGGUGGCGAAGGCGGGUCUCUGGGCCGAUACUGACGCUGAGGAGCGAAAGCGUGGGGAGCGAACAGG